rnacentral:lncRNA from 1 species
AACGAUUCAUUGCUUGGUCAAGAGCUCUCCUUUUUUACAUUGCAUCACGUUUCUCUGUUCGUAUGGUUAUUGUUAUUGAUAUAUUUUACAUCUGUGCUUGUUAUGAAGAACUACUUCUGUUGUCAUUAGUCCAUUCUCCCCUUUUUUCAGAAAAAAAUCCUGCCACUAGAAAUAGAAUCUUAUUAUAUUGUUGAUAAUACUUGUGUUUAAGGUACAAUAUUAUAUUUUAUAUUCUAACAAUCAGCUAUAUAUUAACCUGAAGAAAGAAAUGGCCUUAGCUAUAUUUGUCGGUGUUGCUAAAGAACUCUCAUGAAUAGCACUUCAGCUCAUAACCCAAAAAAAUAGCACUUCAACUCACCACUUAAGAGUUACGGUAAAUUGCCCUUUUAAGUAAAACUCUGCAUGAUCUUGUACUGUGUCAAUCAUUUGCUAUGUGUAAUCUCUCGUGAGAAAAGAAAAUUUACAUUCUGGUGUGGAUUGAGUUUUUGCAUGUGUUUGUGUUGCACUUGUGCAGCAAGUUCGAUACAUCACAUUGUACAAUUUGGGAUCUCGAGAAAGAAAUGAUAGAUGACAUGUUAAUUAAGCAGGGCCCUGGAUUUUCCUGUUUGAGAGAAGCUCUAGAGUUUCUUGUUAUCACGUGUGAUCUUUUUUUUAAAUAUAGUGUGGAAAAGUAAUCAGAAAGCUCGAGGAGAAAAGCUUCAGGGGUCAAUUUCAUCAAAAAAGAAACAUCAGAUGUAAACAAUGAUGUAAGUUGGAAGAUUAUGGUCAUUGUGUCUGCAGCAAUCUUGUUUCUUCUUCUAAUACCACCCUGAAAUC